rnacentral:rRNA from 1 species
GACGAACGCUGGCGGCGUGCUUAACACAUGCCAGUCGAACGGAAAGGCUCCAGCUUGCUGGCGUACUCGAGUGGCGAACGGGUGAGUAACACGUGGGUAAUCUGCCCUGCACUCUGGGAUAAGCCUUGGAAACUGGGUCUAAUACUGGAUAUGACCUUUCUCCUUAUGGGGUUUGGUGGAAAGUUUUUCGGUGUAGGAUGAGCCCGCGGCCUAUCAGCUUGUUGGUGGGGUGAUGGCCUACCAAGGCGACGACGGGUAGCCGGCCUGAGAGGGUGAUCGGCCACAUUGGGACUGAGAUACGGCCCAGACUCCUACGGGAGGCAGCAGUGGGGAAUAUUGCACAAUGGGCGGAAGCCUGAUGCAGCGACGCCGCGUGAGGGAUGACGGCCUUCGGGUUGUAAACCUCUUUCAGCAGGGACGAAGCGUAAGUGACGGUACCUGCAGAAGAAGCACCGGCUAACUAUGUG